GACGGAAGGUGCAAGCGUUGCUCGGAAUCACUGGGCGUAAAGGGUGCGUAGGCGGCUUGGUGGGUCUGGUGUGAAAGCCCCGGGCUCAGCCCGGGAAGGGCACUAGAAACUGCCAAGCCGGAGUGCCGGAGGGGAGAGUGGAAUUCCUGGUGUAGCGGUGAAAUGCGCAGAUAUCAGGAGGAACACCGAUUGCGAAGGCAGCUCGCUGGGACGUAACUGACGCUGAGACGCGAAAGCGUGGGGAGCAAACAGG
rnacentral:rRNA from 1 species